rnacentral:tRNA from 1 species
GCCUUUUUAAUAUAAAAAGUAUAGUUGGCUUCCAACCAACCAGUCUAAAAUUUUUAGAAAAGGCA